rnacentral:sRNA from 1 species
GGGCGACGCCACACGUCGGGGUGGCCGACUGGGUCAGCGCGGGCUGCGCCUCCUCGCCAUGGGCCCCCUCUCGGCGCGGCUGCUAAUGCAGCGCGGGCGCCCCAAGAGCGACCGGCUGGGGAAGAUCCGGAGUCUGGAGUAAGAGCCGGGCAGGGGCCUGUCAGGAUUGGAGCUGCUUUCCGAGCACCUGGACCCCAAGCUCCUGUGCCGCCUGACGCAGCUGCAGGAGCUUGACCUGUCUAACAACCACCUGGAGACGCUGCCGGACAACCUGGGCCUGUCCCACCUGCGUGUCCUCCGCUGCGCCAACAACCAGCUGGGGGAUGUUACUGCCUUGUGCCAGUUCCCCAAGCUCGAGGAACUCAGCCUGGAGGGCAACCCCUUCCUGACGGUCAAUGACAACCUGAAAGUCUCCUUUCUCCUGCCCACGCUCCGUAAGGUCAAUGGCAAGGAUGCGUCCUCAACUUACUCUCAGGUGGAGAACCUGAAUCGGGAGCUGACCAGCAGGGUCACAGCUCACUGGGAGAAGUUCAUGGCCACACUGGGUCCUGAAGAGGAGGCUGAGAAGGCCCAGGCGGACUUUGUGAAGUCGGCUGUCAGGGAUGUCCGCUACGGGCCCGAGUCCCUCAGCGAGUUCACCCAGUGGCGGGUGCGGAUGAUCUCUGAGGAGCUGGUGGCCGCCAGCAGGACCCAGGUGCAAAAGGCUAACAGCCCAGAGAAGCCCCCAGAAGCUGGAGCUGCCCACAAGCCCAGGGUGAGUGCAGCUCCCAGGGCUCUGAGGCCAGCCCAGUCCCUCCUCCCUGGAGAAGCUUCAGGAGACCAAGGCGUCCUGGGCAUGUGCCCAGGAAGCACCCCAGGUCCCGGCUCACUCCCUAGGCGACCCCGGGCCAGCCUGGGCCUCCUGCAUCCGCAGUGAGGUGGGGUCCAGCCUGUGAUGGGGAGGAAGGAAGCCCCAGGCAGACAGGCCCAUGGUCACAAGGCCCCCUCCACAGGCCAGACUGGCGGCCUUGAAACGGCCAGACGAUGUCCCACUCAGCCUCUCUCCCAGCAAGCGGGCGUGUGCCUCCCCGUCGGCCCAGGUGGAGGGCGGCCCUGUGGCAGGCUCCGAUGGCAGCCAGGUGAGCUGAGGUGGCAAGGAGCAGGUGGCAGAUGAGUCGGGGCUGGGCAGCCGUGACCCUUCUCUCCCCCCACAGCCUGCCAUGAAGCUGGAGCCCCUGCACUUCCUGCAGUGCCACAGCAAGAACAACAGCCCCCAGGACCUCGAGACCCAGCUGUGGGCCUGUGCCUUCGAGCCGGCCUGGGAGGAGGGUACAUGGUGGCGGGCAGGCGGGGCAAGGGCCGCUGGAAAUAGGGCCGCCUGGAUGGGUGGGGGAUCAGGAGACAGAGCUUAAAAGGCGCCAUCAAGGCUGGGAGGAGGAGGCUGCAGGGAGGACCUGGAUGGGAAAUGUCUCUGCUCAUCCGACCUCUCAAAACCGGGCACUCAGGGGCCACAUCCCAGACCGUGGCCACGUGCGGCGGGGAGGCUGUGUGCGUAAUUGAUUGCCAGACGGGCAUCGUGCUCCACAAGUACAAGGCACCCGGCGAGGUGAGUGCAGGGCCCUGUCCCUGCUGGGCAGGGGUGCCCGACUGACUCCUGAACAGCAGCAUGGGGAUGGAUGCAGGCUCGGCCCCCUGCCCCACGGCCUUUUUCUUUCAUGCUGGGGCUCCCUCCCCCAGGCCCGGGCUACCCGCGUGUUCACACCAAUAGCUCUGCCCCAGUGACUGUUUACUCUAACCCCCGCCCAGGAGUUCUUUUCUGUGGCCUGGACCGCUCUGAUGGUGGUCACACAGGCUGGCCACAAGAAGCGCUGGAGUGUGCUGGCGGCUGCAGGCCUACGGGGCCUGGUCCGGCUGCUGCACGUGCGUGCCGGCUUCUGCUGCGGGGUCAUCCGGGCCCACAAGAAGGCCAUCGCCACCCUGUGCUUCAGCCCCGCCCACGAGACCCAUCUCUUCACGGCCUCCUAUGACAAGCGGAUCAUCCUCUGGGACAUUGGGGUGCCCAACCAGGACUACGAAUUCCAGGCCAGCCAGCUGCUCACACUGGACACCACCUCUAUCCCCCUGCGCCUCUGCCCUGUCGCCUCCUGCCCGGACGCCCGCCUGCUGGCCGGCUGCGAGGGCGGCUGCUGCUGCUGGGACGUGCGGCUGGACCAGCCCCAAAAGAGGAGGUGAGGCUGGGCAGGGGGCGCCUUGGAAGCCAGGCCUCUGCACAGGGUGGCUGUUGGCCCAGAUGGGCUCACAGCAGCCUGGGCACACCCGGGUAACCAUAAGGGUUGUUUUUAGAGGCCUCUUCGCAGAGCUGGCUUGUCCCACCUUUCUGCCAGGCUCUGGAGGAAAGGACUCUGACCCUGCUCUCACCCUGGGUUCAGCUGUGGGACUGGGCCAUGAUGACCUCCCCUUCACCUGGGGUUUCAGCACCAUGCUGUGCCCAUGUGAUCCAGCCCACUCCUGCCACUCAUCAGCAGUGUGAUGGUCCUCUGUGCUGGCGUAAUGUCCUCAUCUGUAAAGAGGGGCCGAUGGCUAGCGGAGGGCAGGCUUUGGAAGUGCCACGUUGAGGCUUUCUGGCUCAUCUGGAAGGCCUCUGAGACAGGGCUUGGCAAGGGGUCCCUGUCCUCUUGGGGCCCCCAGCCUACUGGGGAAGACAGAUGCUCAGCAAAGGUGGCCAAUCAAAAUCCCACAGUGUGAUGCCAGCUACGAAGGAGAGGGAAAAAGAGUAACCGGCAGAGGGACACUAGCGUGGGGGCCUCAGGGGACUCUGCUGAGGUGACCAGUGGCAGAUGAAUAUUCUGGGGCUCACGCUUUCCUCCCUGGGAGCCCGGUGAGGGAGUCAGCGGGCGGAGGGUGGGGAGGUGCUUGCAUGGAGGAAAUGGUACGUGCAAAGGUCAGUGGCAGGGGAGCCGGCUGGCCUGCUCCCCCAUGUGGCCACAGCUGGGUGGACCCAGCCCAGAACGAGGUGGCAAGGGUGCCUGGGCGGGGCACGCUGGGCUUUGUCAGCCACGGUAAGCUUUGCAUUUCUAUUUACUUUUUAUUUGAGAUGGAGUCUCCCUCUUGUCACCCAGGCUGGAGUACAGUGGCUCAAUCUCGGCUCACUGCAACCUCUGCCGCCAGGGUCCAAGUGAUCCUCCUGCCUCAGCCUCCCGAGUAGCUGGGAUUACAGGCGCACGCCACCACGCCCGGCUAAUUUUCUUUUUUUUUGAGAUGGAGUUUCACUCUUGUUGCCCAGGCUGGAGUGCAAUGACACGAUCUCGGCUCACUGCAAUUUCCACCCCCCCACCGGGUUCAAUUAAUUCUUCUGCCUCAGCCUCCCAAGUAGCUGGAAUUACAGGUGCACGCCAACACACCUGGCUUAUUUUUGUAUUUUAAUAGAGAUGGGGUUUCACCAUGUUGGCCAGGCUGGUCUCGAACUCCUGACCUCAGGUGAUCCACCCGCCUCAGCCUCCCAAAGUGCCAGGAUUACAGGUGUGAGCCAUUGCACCCAGCUGAUUUUUGUCUUUUUAAUAGAGACGGGGUUUCCCCGUGUUGGCCAGGCUGGUCUCGAGCUCCUGACUUCAGGUGAUCCACCCACCUCAGCCUCCCAAAGUGCUGGGAUUACAGGUGUGAGCCACUGCCCUGGGCCAAGAUUUGGAUUUUUAGCUUACCUACAACAAACAGCCCAGGAGGAGCUUCGACACAGCAGCUGCUGUGUUGAAAGGAGCAGCAGGGGCCUUGGCGGCAGAGGUGGUGGUGGCGGUAGUUAUGGGCUUCUCUUUCUCACCAGCAGCCCCUGGGCCGCCGCCUCCCUCCCUGCCCGUAUGUCUGGUCCCUGUGUCUAAGAUGCUUCUUCUCUUAUCCUCUGCCCAACUGGCUCAGGCCUGGCCCAUGGUUAGCUGCUGGGCCACUCUCCUGGCUCCAGGCUAGCCUCCAAGAGUCAGGUAGCUGCCGGGACACUUCUCCAAGCAGACACUCCCACACACUCAGCUCUGAACCAUGCAGCAGCCAUUCCCCCAUUCCCCCGUCUUUUGAGUCAGAGCAGAUGCCCCCAACAGCCCCCUGGGCCAUGGCCUGGAAACACCUGCUCUACUUGGCUGCCAGGAGGCCCCUGUUCAUCUCACACUGGGUCCCAGAGGCACUGGCUCGUUUCAGAGCCUUUUCCGACCCCCUGGCCUAGCCCCGUCCUGGAAGAGCCACCCCUCGUGCCUCUGGGUCACUACUGUGACUCGGGACACUCAGGUGCUGGCUCCCCCUUCCAGGGCAAACUGAACCUUCCUAGGGCCAAGAAUGUAUCUCUUUGGUGGCAUCUUCUGUGCAGCCUUCACACAGGGCAGGGUCCCCAGCAGGUGCCCUGCAGAUGCCUGGGUGAGUGGGCAGCUCUCUAUCUGCAAGGAAUGGCCAACUAGCAUCUCGUGCUGCCCCACAGGGUGUGUGAAGUGGAAUUCGUCUUCUCUGAGGGCUCCGAGGCAUCUGGACGGAGAGUGGAUGGGCUGGCAUUUGUGAAUGAGGACAUCGUGGGUGAGUGAGCUCAGCUUGUGGGACAGCCUGGCCUCUGGGCACACAGAUGGACCGCUUGUCCCUGGGCUAGGCUUCUGAGGAUCUCUAGUGGGAGAAGGUGUCUGGGAGGGGCCACCCUGCACAGCUCUCCCUUCUCCCCCACAGCCUCCAAGGGGAGCGGCCUGGGCACCAUCUGCCUGUGGAGCUGGAGGCAGACGUGGGGGGGCCGGGGCAGCCAGUCCACGGUGGCAGUGGUGGUCCUGGCGCGGCUGCAGUGGUCGUCCACCGAGUUGGCCUACUUCUCGCUCAGUGCCUGCCCUGGUGAGCCUGCCCCCCUGCCCGCCCCAUCCCGCAGGCCUCCGGGAGCUCUGCCCCCACUCAGACUCCACCUCUGUCCCAGCAGAUAAGGGGAUUGUGCUCUGUGGGGAUGAGGAGGGCAACGUGUGGCUCUACGACGUCAGCAACAUCCUGAAGCAGCCACCCCUGCUGCCGGCAGCCCUGCAGGCCCCCACGCAGGUACCGCUCAGCUCACCCUGCCCAGGCUUGGGCUGGCAAGGCAUCAGGUGCCCUGCCUUUGGUCAGCAGGAGCCCAGCCCAGCCCUCCCCUCUCUCCCCACCAGAUCCUGAAGUGGCCCCAGCCCUGGGCCCUUGGCCAGGUGGUGACCAAGACCAUGGUGAACACGGUGGUGGCCAAUGCCUCCUUCACCUACCUCACUGCCCUGACGGACUCCAACAUCGUAGCCAUCUGGGGGAGGAUGUAGCCUCACACCAUCGCAAAGGACCAGGGAUGCAGCUAACUUAUUCAGCUUUGGGCCGAUGGGGGUGGGGGGGGGGGUCUUUCAGUGAAUAUUUUUAUUAAACUCUACUGUGGACAAG